rnacentral:rRNA from 1 species
AUUGAACGCUGGCGGCAGGCCUAACACAUGCAAGUCGAGCGGAUGAAGGGAGCUUUCUCCUGUAUUCCGCUGCGGACGGGUGAGUAAUUCCUAGGAAUCUGCCUGGUCGUUGGGGCUAACGUCCGUUCACGGGCGCUAAUCCCGCAUCCGUCCUGAUGUUGAACGUGGUGGAUCUUCGGACCUCACGCUAUCUGAUGUCCCUAGGUCGGAUUAGCUAGUUGGUGUGGUAAAGGCUUACCAAGGCGACGAUCCGUAACUGAUCUGAGAGGGUGAUCUGUCACACUGGAACUGAGACACGGUCCAGACUCCUACGGGAGGCAGCAGUGGGGAAUAUUGGGCAAUGGGCGAAAGCCUGAUCCAGCCAUGCCGCGUGUGUGAAGAAGGUCUUCGGAUUGUAAAGCACUGUAAGUUGGGAAGAAGAGAAGUAAGUUAAUACAUGGAUGUUUUGACGGUACCAACAGAAUAAGCAACGGCUAACUACGUG